rnacentral:lncRNA from 1 species
GGGCAGGAGGGCGGGUGGGUGCGGGAACACAGACCCGAUGCGCGAGCGGGAGCUGGCGCAGGGGAUCCGAACUGGCGAGUUCAAGUCACCUGGGAUGGCAAGUGCUGCCAGGAGCGCGCCGGUGCGAGUCGCCGCAGCCUGCAGCCAGCUGCUGUUGCCGCCGCCGCUCGAGAACAGAAGUGUCAGCAGAGGACUGUAAGUGCUAUGUGAUUGGACGACGGUGGCCAUAGAAUUUCACCUGCCCAGCACGUAUUCUCUCAUCCUCUCCUCCUCUGCCUUCUUUGGGAGGGAGAAAUCAGAAGGAGUGGGGAUGCAGUUCAGAGAGCAGAGGAGAAGAGAAGAAAAGAAGGAAGAAGGAAGAGGACUAGGGUUGGGUGGGGGGGGAGGACACCAAUGGGAAGAGGGACAGAUCAACUCUAUACACAAAAGUAAAUCAAAACACCAAAAACAGGGGUCUAUGUAAAGAAGCCUCUUCCCGUGAAUUGCUCGUUGCAUAGCUGCAGGGAGGGUGUUUAGGGGCAUAGAGAAUGAAAACAUACCUGUAUUUUGGUGUAGGGAAAUUGUUUCUGUCAAUUCACACCGUCCACACACCACCUCCCACCCCAACCCCGCCACUACCAAAUUCCUCUAAAUAAAAAUAAUUAUGAGAUACAGGCCAACAAAAACGUCAGCGUUAGGCUGUUAUUUAGAGAGAAUUGGAAAGCGUUUGAAUGUGGCCCUGUUGUUUAAUAAACGAUAACAAUGAUUACUAAGUUGUCCUGAG